rnacentral:rRNA from 1 species
UACGUAGGAUCCAAGCGUUGUCCGGAUUUACUGGGUGUAAAGGGUGCGUAGGCGGGUUUGUGCGUCGAAGGUUAAAGACCAGCGCUUAACGUUGGAAGUGCCUUCGAUACGGCAAAUCUUGAGUGUUAGAGAGGUAUGUAGAAUUCCUGGUGUAGCGGUGAAAUGCGUAGAUAUCAGGAGGAAUACCAGUGGCGAAGGCGGCAUACUGGCUAAAUACUGACGCUGAGGCACGAAAGCGUGGGGAUCAAACAGG